rnacentral:rRNA from 2 species
GCGGCAGACGGGUGAGUAACGCGUGGGAAUCUACCUAGCUCUACGGAAUAACCCAGGGAAACUUGGACUAAUACCGUAUACGUCCUUCGGGAGAAAGAUUUAUCGGAGUUGGAUGAGCCCGCGUUGGAUUAGCUAGUUGGUGGGGUAAUGGCCUACCAAGGCGACGAUCCAUAGCUGGUCUGAGAGGAUGAUCAGCCACACUGGGACUGAGACACGGCCCAGACUCCUACGGGAGGCAGCAGUGGGGAAUAUUGGACAAUGGGCGAAAGCCUGAUCCAGCCAUGCCGCGUGAGUGAUGAAGGCCCUAGGGUUGUAAAGCUCUUUCAACGGUGAAGAUAAUGACGGUAACCGUAGAAGAAGCCCCGGCUAACUUCGUGCCAGCAGCCGCGGUAAUACGAAGGGGGCUAGCGUUGUUCGGAAUUACUGGGCGUAAAGCGCACGUAGGCGGACUAUUAAGUCAGGGGUGAAAUCCCGGGGCUCAACCCCGGAACUGCCUUUGAUACUGGUAGUCUAGAGUCCGAGAGAGGUGAGUGGAAUUCCGAGUGUAGAGGUGAAAUUCG